CCGAAUAGGAAAGGAGGAGGGGUUCGAGCGUGGAUUGUGUAGGUACGCUGCCAACAGCGCCGCAGGUAGGGGGCCCCGCAGCUUCUGACACGCUCCUGCUGCUCGCCGCCGCACCCUCCUCCGUCGAGUACGGUACCUGUUCCUGCUAGAUGUUUUGUCGCUAGGUUGUUACCUACUCCUUCUUAGAAGACUACCUAGAAAAAGUUGCGCGAAAAGUCGAGGGGCAAACGCACUCCAACGUCUGUUACUCGACUUACUAUUUUUCUCUCGUAACGAUCUCUUCAGAUCAAAACCCAGCAACUACUUCUAGUCAGGUAAAAUACAUGGGGAACUCGACUAACUGACCCAUCAAUACUUUUAUCUGUGAGUCGCAAGAAACAAAUCAGUAUUUUUCUUCUGAUAUAAUAAGUGAUCUCUGUACCACGUGUUUUAAAAAUUACAGGGUAGGCCUGGUUCCCGUCACCUCGACGAUUUCUCCUUACUUGCAACACUCAACGCGCUGUAAAUAGCUUAUCCAUGUUCCCGAGGUUACUUCUUUAGUUAAAGACAUUAGUUCCUUCGUCGCCUGCUACUACGGUAAUGAGAUCUCUCCUGAACCCAAGAAAAUACGGAACGAGAACAGAAUCAAGGACCAUGGCCGUUGUACCAGAGAUACCUAAUAGAACGUUCAAACUUCCUGGACCUACUUUAGUUACUCAAACACACCCUACUCGUACAAAACCGUUGACGUAACUCCCUCCGCUCCUUCAUGGUUGUUUUAUCCCUCCGACCCCGUUCACCGAAGACCUAUCCACCGACAGAUGGAUACAAACGCAAUUAAAUGUACCUAAAGGACCUCCACGGGGCCAGAAACCAAUCACUCCCCUGUAAGUUCAUGAGCGAGGUAUCCCGAACGAAGCACGCGCUACGUCUAAAGUUCAACCAAUGUCUCAAACUGUCCUUGUUCGAACGAGAACUAUUCCAACUUAAACCCUUCGCGUUAGUAGCGAGAGACAGAGUCUGUGGAAUACGUUAUAACCUACGUCUGUUCUUAACACUCCCGGUCUGAGUUUUAGUAGUCCGUUUACGGUCAUUAUCUCGACGGUUUGGGUUGUGUGUUCAGUCCCCACUACCACUGAAUCCGCCGCUCAAAACACCGAGAGACCUGCUCACCGACGUUGGUGAGGGAAGUACGCUUCUCAACCUCUAAGGCAACGUUGACUUCGGAUAUAUACUCUUCGUGUUUUUCGAAAUAUACCGUCUCAACUUCUUACAACAGUGCAGAAAACCCUUCCACAACGUCAGUUGAAAGACGUUCGCAAAUCCGAUAUACAACGACCUUCGGGUGAGGUUACGUUGCAGUUUGGUCCUCGUGUCUUCUCUUCCACCUCUGAACUGGAAACAGCAGGGCUCUCAGUUACGUCGUUCGUCGCUCCUCGCGUGUCCUCGACACAGUAAACCGUAGGGUUGUCGGUGGCGUCGUCCUCAACAACGGCCGAGAAGAUGUACGUGUAACAGCCUCGGACUAUAGGCCCAUCUUCUUCCACGACUACUCGUCUUGUUCAGUUGUCGAUGACAACAUUCACGACGAGAUUUUCCUUCCCUCACGUCACAUAAUCCACCUUUUCAACCCCACCUCCGCCUUGUGCCUCUCCCCCCUUGUCGCCCAGCUUCGUGUUCGGGGGCUCACGUCACAAGACUCCCACGACACAACGUUGUUCAGUCCUCAUCGUUAGUAACAGCUCCCUUCCUAAAACACCUCGUCCUGCUUCAACGUUAAGUCCCACCGUUCCACUAGGGGGUUCUACGAACGUUGUAGUUACGGAGCCCCCGACUACUGUUACAACUUUGCGGUCAAGAAAGUGUCCCGUGUAACGUCCGUUAACGACAUUGACGGAAUCUCACCCUUCUACCGGGUACAACACGAGAAAAGUUCCUCCCCUGGCUUCUGAUACUCACCAAGUUAGUUUUUUAUCUCUCUGGUCAGUUCGGACACGUCUGUAGUUUAUGAAGAUCGAGACUACACGGCUUAAGUUGGAGUAGUCCCGGUUGAAAGCUGUCGUGAGGAGUAAAACUUUCCGGUUCGUUGGGCUGUGGACGUUGUUAACCGUGUCGAGGUUUCGAAGGUUCCGUUUUACUGUAAGGUCCCGGACACAAGCUACACAGGGGGUAGAAUAAGUUUUGUGGUAGUAGCCUACCUGGAGUUCACCAAAACGUGCUUCGUAACCUCCAGUUACAACUCCGGUCCCUGCCCAGACUGUCAGUACCAUUCGUCAGUUUCUUCUUUUACUACCGGGAGAGAGGACUGUAACACGGUUACUACUUCUUUUAAUUCCAGCUACGUGUACCACCACGGAAUGUGGUCGUUACUUCCUCAAAAUUAUAGGUUCGUAUAGACAACAACGUCCGGGCUAAAGUAACUUUAUCUACCGAAGGUAUGUAGAGACGUCUUGAAAGUGCCCAGAGAUUUCGGUUAUCGACUCUAGCUGUUGCUCCAGUACUGGAAUAUGGACUCCUGAAAGUUGAUACUAGUCAGCCAUUUCUUCUUCUUUGGGUUCUACAAACGUAAGAAUCACAACUACUCAUGUUUUGAGUCACGACUCGGGCUACACAAACUAGGCUUCCACACGCUUUCUCUUAAAUCCUCACGAACGAGUCUAAUAGUAUAAAGUUUUAGACUGAAUGAUAAGAAGUGCCAACAAGUGUUUUCCGUGACCCGUCAUCAUCAACAAUUGUGACGGGUUUUCCUCAAGUUAUAAAAACUGAGCUGGUUCUUGAGUUUUCUGGAUAAGCUCUACCUGUUCUAAUGAUUCUUAGACUAGCGGUUAUAGUUCUCACAACGUUACUCCCUCGGGGAAAAGUUCGUACUAGAGCUCAGAAAGUGUCACAAGAGGGGUCGAUUAAUGGGCGCUGUUUGUUGAAUGAUAUUGACACCGAUGAUGUCAUAAAAUAUGACCUCUUAACCUUACCGGAAUAAUACAACAGUAAGUUACUCCUUAUGUAAGGUUUAGAAGCUUAUGCGUAAAGUCGCCUAGACGACUCUGUGGGCUUGUUGUUCGACCUGGGGCGCGUCGUCGACUUCGAGGAAGAAGUCGCAAUCUAAGUACCACAGCUCGAAGACCUUGAACUCCUCCGCACCACCAUCGCCCCGGACCACCCCGAGAAAAAACAUCGAUGACAUCAGUGUGAACAUUACGAAUAUCCUUCAACUGUUGUACGACAUGACACUGAAAACAAACCUCAGGUAGACUCAACUUGGGUCUCGAAAACUUAAAAAGUUAUACAUAAAUGAACGAAGUUCUACUUAAACUAUAAGAAGCAGGACCGAGCUCUUACAACAGUGUUCAUUAAUG
rnacentral:rRNA from 1 species